rnacentral:rRNA from 1 species
UACAGAGGGGGCAAGCGUUAUUCGGAAUUAUUGGGCGUAAAGGGCGCGUAGGCGGCAUGGCAAGUGGAUGGUGAAAUCCCUCGGCUUAACCGAGGAACUGCCGUCCAAACUGCUUCGCUUGAGACCGGGAGAGGUGAGUGGAAUUCCCAGUGUAGCGGUGAAAUGCGUAGAUAUUGGGAGGAACACCAGUGGCGAAGGCGGCUCACUGGACCGGUACUGACGCUGAGGCGCGAAGGCGUGGGGAGCGAACGGG